UACGUAGGGUGCAAGCAUUAAUCGGAUUUAUUGGGCGUAAAGGGCGCGUAGGCGGGAUCAUAAGUCAGAUGUUAAAGCCCGGGGCUCAACCCCGGAAAAGCAUUUGAAACUGUAAUUCUAGAGGGUAGGCGGAGAAAAUGGAAUUCCACAAGUAGCGGUGAAAUGUGUAGAUAUGUGGAAGAACACCAGUGGCGAAGGCGGUUUUCUAGCUUAUACCUGACGCUGAAGCGCGAAAGCAAGGGGAGCAAACAGG
rnacentral:rRNA from 1 species